UUAAGCGACUAAGCGUACACGGUGGAUGCCCUGGCAGUCAGAGGCGAUGAAGGACGUGCUAAUCUGCGAUAAGCGUCGGUAAGGUGAUAUGAACCGUUAUAACCGGCGAUUUCCGAAUGGGGAAACCCAGUGUGUUUCGACACACUAUCAUUAACUGAAUCCAUAGGUUAAUGAGGCGAACCGGGGGAACUGAAACAUCUAAGUACCCCGAGGAAAAGAAAUCAACCGAGAUUCCCCCAGUAGCGGCGAGCGAACGGGGAGCAGCCCAGAGCCUGAAUCAGUGUGUGUGUUAGUGGAAGCGUCUGGAAAGGCGCGCGAUACAGGGUGACAGCCCCGUACACAAAAAUGCACAUGCUGUGAGCUCGAUGAGUAGGGCGGGACACGUGGUAUCCUGUCUGAAUAUGGGGGGACCAUCCUCCAAGGCUAAAUACUCCUGACUGACCGAUAGUGAACCAGUACCGUGAGGGAAAGGCGAAAAGAACCCCGGCGAGGGGAGUGAAAAAGAACCUGAAACCGUGUACGUACAAGCAGUGGGAGCACGCUUAGGCGUGUGACUGCGUACCUUUUGUAUAAUGGGUCAGCGACUUAUAUUCUGUAGCAAGGUUAACCGAAUAGGGGAGCCGAAGGGAAACCGAGUCUUAACUGGGCGUUAAGUUGCAGGGUAUAGACCCGAAACCCGGUGAUCUAGCCAUGGGCAGGUUGAAGGUUGGGUAACACUAACUGGAGGACCGAACCGACUAAUGUUGAAAAAUUAGCGGAUGACUUGUGGCUGGGGGUGAAAGGCCAAUCAAACCGGGAGAUAGCUGGUUCUCCCCGAAAGCUAUUUAGGUAGCGCCUCGUGAAUUCAUCUCCGGGGGUAGAGCACUGUUUCGGCAAGGGGGUCAUCCCGACUUACCAACCCGAUGCAAACUGCGAAUACCGGAGAAUGUUAUCACGGGAGACACACGGCGGGUGCUAACGUCCGUCGUGAAGAGGGAAACAACCCAGACCGCCAGCUAAGGUCCCAAAGUCAUGGUUAAGUGGGAAACGAUGUGGGAAGGCCCAGACAGCCAGGAUGUUGGCUUAGAAGCAGCCAUCAUUUAAAGAAAGCGUAAUAGCUCACUGGUCGAGUCGGCCUGCGCGGAAGAUGUAACGGGGCUAAACCAUGCACCGAAGCUGCGGCAGCGACGCUGAUGCGUUGUUGGGUAGGGGAGCGUUCUGUAAGCCUGCGAAGGUGUGCUGUGAGGCAUGCUGGAGGUAUCAGAAGUGCGAAUGCUGACAUAAGUAACGAUAAAGCGGGUGAAAAGCCCGCUCGCCGGAAGACCAAGGGUUCCUGUCCAACGUUAAUCGGGGCAGGGUGAGUCGACCCCUAAGGCGAGGCCGAAAGGCGUAGUCGAUGGGAAACAGGUUAAUAUUCCUGUACUUGGUGUUACUGCGAAGGGGGGACGGAGAAGGCUAUGUUGGCCGGGCGACGGUUGUCCCGGUUUAAGCGUGUAGGCUGGUUUUCCAGGCAAAUCCGGAAAAUCAAGGCUGAGGCGUGAUGACGAGGCACUACGGUGCUGAAGCAACAAAUGCCCUGCUUCCAGGAAAAGCCUCUAAGCAUCAGGUAACAUCAAAUCGUACCCCAAACCGACACAGGUGGUCAGGUAGAGAAUACCAAGGCGCUUGAGAGAACUCGGGUGAAGGAACUAGGCAAAAUGGUGCCGUAACUUCGGGAGAAGGCACGCUGAUAUGUAGGUGAGGUCCCUCGCGGAUGGAGCUGAAAUCAGUCGAAGAUACCAGCUGGCUGCAACUGUUUAUUAAAAACACAGCACUGUGCAAACACGAAAGUGGACGUAUACGGUGUGACGCCUGCCCGGUGCCGGAAGGUUAAUUGAUGGGGUCAGCGCAAGCGAAGCUCUUGAUCGAAGCCCCGGUAAACGGCGGCCGUAACUAUAACGGUCCUAAGGUAGCGCGAAAUUCCUUGUCGGGUAAGUUCCGACCUGCACGAAUGGCGUAAUGAUGGCCAGGCUGUCUCCACCCGAGACUCAGUGAAAUUGAACUCGCUGUGAAGAUGCAGUGUACCCGCGGCAAGACGGAAAGACCCCGUGAACCUUUACUAUAGCUUGACACUGAACAUUGAGCCUUGAUGUGUAGGAUAGGUGGGAGGCUUGGAAGUGUGGACGCCAGUCUGCAUGGAGCCGACCUUGAAAUACCACCCUUUAAUGUUUGAUGUUCUAACGUUGACCCGUAAUCCGGGUUGCGGACAGUGUCUGGUGGGUAGUUUGACUGGGGCGGUCUCCUCCUAAAGAGUAACGGAGGAGCACGAAGGUUGGCUAAUCCUGGUCGGACAUCAGGAGGUUAGUGCAAUGGCAUAAGCCAGCUUGACUGCGAGCGUGACGGCGCGAGCAGGUGCGAAAGCAGGUCAUAGUGAUCCGGUGGUUCUGAAUGGAAGGGCCAUCGCUCAACGGAUAAAAGGUACUCCGGGGAUAACAGGCUGAUACCGCCCAAGAGUUCAUAUCGACGGCGGUGUUUGGCACCUCGAUGUCGGCUCAUCACAUCCUGGGGCUGAAGUAGGUCCCAAGGGUAUGGCUGUUCGCCAUUUAAAGUGGUACGCGAGCUGGGUUUAGAACGUCGUGAGACAGUUCGGUCCCUAUCUGCCGUGGGCGCUGGAGAACUGAGGGGGGCUGCUCCUAGUACGAGAGGACCGGAGUGGACGCAUCACUGGUGUUCGGGUUGUCAUGCCAAUGGCACUGCCCGGUAGCUAAAUGCGGAAGAGAUAAGUGCUGAAAGCAUCUAAGCACGAAACUUGCCCCGAGAUGAGUUCUCCCUGACCCUUUAAGGGUCCUGAAGGAACGUUGAAGACGACGACGUUGAUAGGCCGGGUGUGUAAGCGCAGCGAUGCGUUGAGCUAACCGGUACUAAUGAACCGUGAGGCUUAACCUU
rnacentral:rRNA from 1 species